UUGUAUUUUUUCAUCUUUAAAAAGGUUAUUGACAUCCCAAUAUUUAGUGGGAAGCUUCCAGGUAUCUUCCACUAGUGACAGUCUACUGGCAAAUCCAGACAUGCAUUGGAAGUAUGUUGAUGUGGAGGACACAGGGACACCUGAUCCAAGAACUGUGGCAUUUCAUUCGGAGUGACAACCUGGCAUUCAGUUGAUAUGGGACCUGAUUAUUCAGAGAAUUGCAGAUUUUAUGAAGCUGUUUUUGACAGAAGAUUUGGUUUUCUCCAUUUGUGUUGCCAUUAACCAUUAUGCUGUGAUGGUCAUAUCUAGGGGGGAGGAUUGUCAUAUGCUUCCCGAGGAAGUUCGAAGCUUCUCACUGAAGAGGAACUGUACAGAUUGUUGGGCAUUAUCUUAUACAUGUCUGCUGAGAAGUUCUAGUCGAUAGACAGAUAUUGGUCAACGCAUGCCCCUAUCCGAACAACCUAGUAUCAAAAAUUAUGUCUAGAAAUAUGUUUUAAGAGGUUGAAUAUAAGAAGAACAAUUUUUAUUAAAUACAAUGCAAGUACAUUUAAAUUUAGUGAUUGAAAGUAAGUACUUGAACAUUUGUAUACAUGUACAAUGAACUUGGGGAGGAAAAAUGGGCAUUAUUUUCGCAUAGCAUUUGAUAUCAUAAUGGUGUUGUUGCUUAGCAACCAAAUAUAUUUGAAUAUAAAAAAUAGAUCAUUUUAGAUUUUAACAGGAAAGAUCUUUGUUUUAAUGUUGCAAUAUUUAUACUAUUUAGUGGGAUACAAUGGCAAAACGUCAUAUUAUUAGAAAACGAUGAAUAUGUAUAUGAAGUACGAAAUUUCCAUUUUAUGACCUUUGACCUUAAUUCUCUUCAUUAUAUUUUUUGUUAAAAACCUUUUAAAAUGAUUAAAAUCUAGUCAAAGAUUAUAUUUUUAAAAUAAUGUGACAUUUACUAAUCAUCAUGCAAUGUAAUUAUGUUUGAAUUGUGUCGAAUGGAAGUAGAAAGGCAAAUUAUGGUCAAAAUUACACCAUGAGUGUUGUUACUUAGCAACCAAAACUAUUUGUUUGUCAAUAAAAUUGAUUAAUUUGAUUGUGAUGUUUUUGUAGUAUUUUAAAAGACACAUCAGCUCAUACAUUUAGAAUUUCCUAUUUUUGACUCGAAUCUAGUGAGAGGGGUCGUAAUAUUUAUAUUCCAGAGAAAAAAGAUUGCAAAAAUGUGCACUUAAAUGACCUUUGACCCCGUAGAACUCUUUGGGGUCA